UACGGAGGGUGCAAGCGUUAAUCGGAAUUACUGGGCGUAAAGCGCACGUAGGUGGUUUUCUAAGUCAGCUGUGAAAUCCCCGGGCUCAACCUGGGACUUGCAGUUGAAACUGGGAAGCUAGAGUAGGGUAGAGGGGUGUGGAAUUCCAGGUGUAGCGGGUGAAAUGCGUAGAUAUCUGGAGGAACAUCAGUGGCGAAGACGACACCCUGGACUCAUACUGACACUGAGGUGCGAAAGCGUGGGGAGCAAACAGG
rnacentral:rRNA from 1 species